AACCACAACAACCACCCCAACAUCAACAACUACCACAUUAAUUACAACAACCACCCCUACACCAAAUACAACAACCACACAAACUACAACUACAAUUCCAUCAACAACUACACCACUAACCACAACAACCAUCCCAACAUCAACAACUACCACAUUAACAACAACCCCUACACUAAAUACAACAACAACAGAAACUACAACCACAAUUCCAUCAACAACUACAACAACACCAGAUACAACCACUGCACUAUCCCCAUUGAUCACACUAACAACAACAACAACCCCUCUACCAAAUACAACAACCACACAAACUACAACCACAAUUCCAUCAACAACUACACCAGUAACCACAACAACCAUCCCAACAUCAACAACUACCACAUUAAUUACAACAACCACCCUUCACCAACUAAGAACAGCCGUACCUACAACAACAACUACACCACAAACUACAACCAUCGUCCCUUCACAAACUCCGACUGUUCUCCCUACAACUACACUAUCAAGUACAUCACAUAUUUCUACAUCUGAAGACACAACUGAAUCCCCAACACCUGUAACUGGAGUCUCAAAACAAGGUGUUGUAGCUAUGAGAAUCCAGAUUUCCUCUGCGUCUCCUCUGUCUGAGGACUUCAUCAGGAGUACCAUCAUACAACAGAUUAAAGAUGAGCUGGUGAGAAAGGGGCUGCCAUCAGACAUAACUCUACGCCUCGUCAGAAGUGUUCAACUUGGACUCACAAACCCAGCAACCCCUGUCAAUUAAACCUGAAUAUUUGUAGGUGCCACUCAAAUGUAAAACCUUAAGGUCAGCCUCUUUUGAGCAAACACCACUUCAUAAUCUUUUAUUCCUAACUUCACCUGAAGAUGAAAUUAAUACUCCGAAUUUGACAAUCUGAAUUAAGGACUAUCUACUUUCACCAAAGGAAAUCGAAUUAAUUACAGAUAUUAAAAUCCUUCGCAGCAAAAUCUGGGUGAAUGCAAACCAUAGCUGUGAAAAAUGUAGUGUGUUUACUGAUGUAUAUUUUAUUAUAUUUCCAUAUUUGAAGUGUAUUAUAGUUUUAUGAGUGAAAGCAGUAUAUUUCUAUUACACUGUAUAUGCAAAAACCCAAUAGGGACAGUAUUUUAUCUACUCUAAGUAUUGCAUUUUCCCUCAAUCAAAUAAAACAUAUUCAAAUUCAAUAUUCUAGAUUAUGUAUAUGAUCAGAGUUUAAUGAUUUAAAAUCAAAGUCUUCAGUUUUGUUUAGAGUUUUAUUGCAGAAGGUGGUUGAAGUCAUCACAUUUUUGAUGAAAUAGUUGACUAGUGUUACUCUAAGUUUUGCUGAUAUCGAUUUUAUUCCCAAUGUGUUUUAGGUCCAAAUGCAAAAAUUAGUAACCUCAAUUAAUUUAAACUGAACAAAAAAAAAUCUUACAUAAAUGAAGGUUAUUCCGUUAAAGGGGACCUAUCAUGCAAAAUUCACUUUUUGAUGUAUUUUAUACAUAACUAUGUGUCCCCAGUGUGUCAGGGAACUCAC